GCCACCCCCAUUGAGCUGGUUCUGGUGGAGUUCUGUGAGAGUCUGUGAAUGCUGGCAUCUGAACGUGCUGUAAUGCGGUGUGUUGUGAAUCUUCUCUUCCACCUGCGUUCUUUGAAUGACCCAUGCUGUCAAAAAUAACAACAAAGGAUAUCAAAUAUUAAUGGGAAUCAACUGGAGCACAGUGUCGGAAGUCUGGUGUUGGGGUUAAGAUAUAGCCCAGAUGGAGUGAGGGCCUGAGAAGGGUUCGGGCUGAAAUCUGAGCUGCAAUCAAAGAGCGCCGGAGACUGGGACGGAUGGAGUGACGAGAGAGGAAUGCAAACAGUGAUUAGACAGGAUAUUAAUGAGUCCCCAAAACCUUGGAGCCAGGCUGUUUGACCUCUGUCUGACCUCUGACUCGAAGUCACAACCUGCUUUGUGUAUGCCCAAAACAUGACGGGAAUGCAAGCAGGAUGAUGAUUGAAGAGGUAAAAACUGAUGAAGCGGCGGAAAGCGAGAGGGUGGAGCUCAGGGAAAUUAAAAGGACAUUUAGGGGAUUGAUUGUCCAUUCAUUAGAUAAAGCACUGGGUCGUAUUUAUUAUUAUAAAACCCUCUAACCCUCUCUGAUAAACUAUAAUUAUAAACUAUAACUGCCACUUAACCAAAACAGUAUUUUGUUUCACUCUGACCGGGUCAUAAUUUAGAAAAAAUAAUAUAAACAUUUGCAACAAUUUAGUCCCUUAUGUAUCAUUUAUUUGGAUAGAUAGGUUACAUUUGCACACUGGGAACAUUAUUCAGGGAAUUUAUUGUCAUUUGGCUUUCCGAAUUCAAAUACACAAGCAUGGCAAUCAUGCUUACCGGUGCUGCACAUCAGUACAGAAUUUAUAAACACAAACACAAGAGCACAACAUGACAUGUGACUGAGACUCACUCUGCUUCCAAUGCUAAUCCUGUCUGGAUUUCUGUCAGUCCUUCAGGAGACAGAGACUCCGGUGAAUGUGAUCUGGGAGUGAA